GCAAUAAAUCCUAUUAAUCUGAAUUCUACUAUUUUGUGUUGGCAUUGUUAAAAUAGUCUUUAUAUCACAUGGCUAUAAUUUGUACUGGUUGUGGACUGUUUUUCUUUACUAGAAUGCAAAAUAUUAUGAAAAAAGAUACUGAAAACUGAUUUAGUUCUGGUUUUCUUGCAACAAAAUCUGGUGGUUCUGGAUGGCCAUUAGGAAAGAAAGCAGCUUUUAUGGAGUUUUCUUCUCAACAGCUUCAUUAAAUUGAAGACAGCAUGAGCAAGUUGAAACAAUUCAUAAAGAAAAAAAAAGAUCUCUAUUAAAUAAUGUCAACAUCAAAGGCAACAAUAAGUAAUCUCCUGCAAAGGGAAGGCUGUGAAAGCAUCUUUUGAGCUGGUUAAAAACUGGCAAUUAUCAAUUUCAUUUUGACAUGAAUGAGAAGGAGGAAUGUUCUGUACAUGCUUUAAUCUUCUAACAUAUAUUUUAUAACAAA